CAACUAUUUGCCACUGGACUUUGAACAACCAACAAUCAAUCAAUAUUUUCAUUAUAUUUCAUCACCUCUACCUUCUUUUAUCUAUACUUUUUGGCCUCCCUUCCAGGCUUACUUUUUUGCACAGAAUUAUUAUCUCUGUAAAACACCUUCAUAUCUUUAUAUAUGGUGACCUAUUCAUUUCCUUGUACAUGUACGUGCAUAUGGUAAUUGAAACAAGAAAAAUAAACAAAUAUAACUGUAUGCUUUGGCUGUAUAAGUCACAG
rnacentral:lncRNA from 1 species